UUUCAUUCUUUUGAUACGCUUAUGGUUUUACAAAGAAGUGUUUUCAGAAAAAAAGUUUUUGGAAGUUUCUCCUUGCUGAUGUGGAUUGGCAGAGGGGUGCUGGGGACCAGUCCUCACCAUGGUGCCAGAGGAACCUGGAGCACCCCCAAAUUGCUCCUUUGGCAGGCCUGGGGUGACUGGGUCAUGAAUUAUCUCCUCAGUUUCCUGAGCUAGACUUAUCCUUCUUUCCAUUUCUGACAUUAGAUGGCAUGCACUCAAUUGAAACCUUGUAACUUCAGAGACUGCUUGCAUUUGGAUUAUAAGCAUGCAGCCAAAAAAAUGUCCUCAGCUGUAACCUCAGUGUUUAUUGGAUGCUAACCUCUCCAACAUGGGCGUUCUUCAUUUUCCCCUGGCAAUGGUGUUAACAUAUGAAACACUUUUAAAACAGCCCCUAGAUGAAGAGCCAGCUCUGCCCCUGGCCUUGUAGGCAGGUCUGCCACCAUAUGUGCUGGUUUUGAUGCCGUUAUGACCUUUGUUUAUGCUUCUGUCCUUUCUGUUUGGCAUGCAUUGAAGUAGGUGAUUUGCAGCUAAACAGAAUGUGUCUCAAGGCUUUGAGGGGCUAUAGGGUGUCCCUGGCCUCCCCCAGUCACAGGGCCUUAUCCCAAGGUGUUAAUCCCUAAUCUCAGCCUAGGUUUGCCUGGUCCCCAUGGAGAUCCCUGUGGACUGGGACUGCCAGCUGCCAUUUUCCUUUGGCCUUGCUGAGGCAGCACGGGACAGGCACUGUCGGACAUUUUGUGGUGCCCUCCCUGAGGGAGCAGCAGAUCAUUUCCUGCAACUAGCAGCAUCGGGUUCCUGCCUGGAGCACCUGAGAUGGCGGCCGUCUCCUCAGGAAGAUUUUUCAUUGGGUGUUGUGGUAAUUAAAGGCAAACAAGUCAUGUCUUGCCUUGGAUGAGAGAAGAUAAGAGCAGGACAAAAGAGGCUCAGGGUUAACUCUUUCCUUUGUUCUCAUCUAUCAAAGAAGAGAUUGCCAUACGUUUUCUCUACAUCUGCUGCUUAUAUU
rnacentral:lncRNA from 1 species